AGUAUCUAUCCCAAAGACCAGGGAGAAAGGAAGGAAAGAUUCUGGUUCUGUCCUCUUCCCCAAGGCAAGGCUGGCUGCCCUACCAACAGAGGCAAAGAGAAGAGUGUGCAAGGCUGGCUGCCCUCCCAACAGAGGCAAAGAGGAGUGUGUGUUGAAAUAUCCAUUGAAUCCCUGAGACAACUGGAUCCUGGCCCAUUGAAUCAUAAACUCAGCAGAAUCUCACAUCAUAACCCCAAAUGACCUGUUACUCACCAUGUGGCCCAGCUGUCUUCAAACUCACCAGCCUCCUGCCUUAGCCUUCUAAAUGCUUGGAUUACAGGCAUGACCCACCAUAACUGGCUUUGUUUUAGUUUCAGAGAAGAUGAAACUGAUGUGCGUCAAAAAGCUGGUAGUCUGUCAAGGAAAUGAGCUGAACAUGUCUGUGUACAGCUUUUGUGCCAUCCCUGGAUGAGCGAGCUGUCUGCCUCUAUGUUCUCCACAAAAUGGAAUAUAGCUGUACACCCAAGCCAAGUUAUGGAGGCUGGGAAGACCUAGAAUGUGGCAUCACUAUUUGCUUCGACAAUUCUGUGGAGAUAAACUUUCAGUAGACGUGGAGCAGAUUAUCACAGUUGAAUUGUGCUGAGAGAAGAGCUGAAAUGACUAAGCUCACAGGAAAACUACCAAAGGGCGUUACUGAAUGUCCAGUUUACAGUCUCCAAAGGGGAGCUGCCUCUGCUGGUGGUGAUGCAUGGAACAUGGCUUUAUUGUGUGAACCUUGGAAAUGGACACCAGAGAGUCCUGGACUUGUAGUCGGUGUAGCAGAAGUUGAUCUGGGGCCGAGGUCUUAAGAUUUCUGAGGCUCAAGACAUGAGUAAUAGAUUGCUAGUCUUUCCAUGGAUGAGAACCGGCAAAAUCUCUAAGUGAGAAAUCACAUCAUCUAUAGUUCAAAGCAGAGUUCCUAUUCCAAUGAGAAAGAAUACUCAUCAGAAGGUCAAGGCAUGCAACCAACCAAUCCAUACGAUGUGUUCCAAUAUGCUCAACUCUGCUCUCAAUGUUUUGCAGCAUGUCAGAAUGUAAACUUAACAGCAACCUCUGAGGUGUUAAAUACAGACAAGUCAAAGUAGAUUAAAUCUAUUUCAACAUAAAGAUUUGAACAUGGCACUCUGCCCCGGAAAUGCAUGUGACCCCCUCAAUAUGCUGCCUUUGCUGCACAACUGUCUUUUUGUACUCUUGUAAUGUUGAUGGCUUGUGCAUCAUCAAAACCAAACAAACGUCUGUUGGACUGACAGACGAUUAAGAGUCAAUGUCUGAGUGGAGGAUAAAUGUGAGAAACUCCACUAGGAGGAGACAACCUUUCCUCCAUCAAAAAGACAGCGCUAAGAAUCCUUACCAUUGUAAUCUGGUCCAUAGAGAGAGCAGCAUCCUUUCCCUAACGAUUACCCAUUUCCUAUUAGCAAAUGACUCCUGUGAUGCUUCCCCAGCUAAAAUAGGACCCAAAUUGGCUAAGUACCAUAGACAAUAUGUGCAAUUCUGUUUUUAAAAAUCACCAGAAGUAAAAGGGUCCAUUCAAAUAAAUGGAACAAGAAUGUCCUGAGCCAAACGU
rnacentral:lncRNA from 1 species